UACGGAGGGUGCAAGCGUUGCUCGGAAUUACUGGGCGUAAAGCGCGUGUAGGUGGUUUCGUGUGUCUGAUGUGAAAUCCCCGGGCUCAACCCGGGAAGUGCAUUGGAAACUGCGAGACUAGAGUCCCGGAGAGGAAGGUGGAAUUCCAGGUGUAGCGGUGAAAUGCGUAGAUAUCUGGAAGAACACCGGUGGCGAAGGCGGCCUUCUGGACGGUGACUGACGCUGAGACGCGAAAGCGUGGGGAGCAAACAGG
rnacentral:rRNA from 1 species